CGCAGGUUCCGAGCCUGGUGGACCGUUACCUGGACGCUGGUGGGGAACCACUGCGCGCUCGCGGCGGCGAGAGACAUCGCCAGAAGCCCGCGGAAACUCAACCAAAAGUUCGUCGGUGAUUGGACGGUGGAGGAGGAGGAGGAGGUCGUUGAGACAUGGCGCACUGCUAAAAAGUAAACUGAUCAGGAGUCAGUUUAUUUUUGUUGAAGUUAUGAACGGAUUUGAAAAGACGAUGGCCUCGCUUCUUUUCAUUGGUUGGUUCUUCAACAACAUUACUGCAAUAAAGCCAGAUUUAGUCUACUAUGUACUGUUUAAGAAAUUAAAUAACAUUAGUAAAAAAGCAGACCUAUAGAUUUUAAAGGAUAAAAGUCGUCUCACGCCGAACACUGUAGUAUCAUCUCCAUCUUGAUCUGUCUCCCAGGACAUCAUCAAGAUGAUAAAGGCCACAACGAAAGCAGUAUUCCUUUUGGUAGUUACUGGGGCUGAAGUUGAAUAAAAAUAUUGAAAAUCGGAAUAAUUUCUUUGAACGCUUGUGUGAUGUGAAAAAGUAGCCUAUACUCCUGAGACUCAAUGUUUUAGUAGAAUAACAUUACAGAUAGAAUAUCUAUAUACUAAAGCAAGUGUGCACAGACAUGAGAUAAAUUACUCAAGAUGCGUUAGUUACCUCGACACAAUUACAUCAAGAUUUAUACUGAAUCAUCCACAGGAAAAGACUCUCUCCAAGUCAUGAUCAUUUUCAUGUGUGCAUCCUGAAUACAUCCUGUUUACAACUGAUUAAACACUGCACACAGGAUACAUGCUCAACAGACUUACCAUAUUAGCACAGUUAUCUCAUGAAUACUUCCUCAUAAAGAACAAAAGGAAUAAACGAUGAGCUGCAUUGAGAAACACCAUUUUCUGUCUAUGUAAUUUCCUGAAUUGCAAGGAAUUGAAUUGAUAAGCAGAAGUAGACUUUUGUAAUUCUACUCAAAUGUGAAGGCCACAUUGUCAUGUACUUCAAAAAGUCUGAUGCUUGAAAAGUAUUUUGUGGGCACUCAUUGAGAUACUUUGAACACCUGUGAAUAAAUAAUGGUGAGAUGUAUUACUGUUAUGUCAGUAUUAGUUGUACACAUUUGUCAUUGAAAAGACGUCAUUGAGAUUUGUCUCACUUGCAAGGAUAACACGUUUCUCUGCCACCCAGGAGGGGGCACUCAUUCCUGCCUUACACCAGAAAAUCACCUCAGCUGGAAGUGAACAUUGAAUCAAGAGACUGGGGUUUUAUUCCUUCUGAAUCUACUUGAUAAGUCGGGCUGUUGGAGUGCUGGGAGCUCAGCAAAAACAAAUGAAACACUUUCAGCAUCUAUUCAAAAGUCUGGAACGUUUUUUUUUAAUUCACUGAGAUUCUGUACAGCCACAGUCAUGCAAUUACUCGACUAUCAUUUAUGCACACACACACACACACACACACACACACACACACACACACACACACACACACA